rnacentral:rRNA from 1 species
AACGGGUGAGUAACGCGUGGGUAACGUACCCUGAUCCUGGGAAUAACCCUCGGAAACGAGGGCUAAUACCGAAUGUGGCGAACGACCGGUUGGUCGCUCGCUAAAGGUGGCCUCUUCUAUGCUGCCGGGUUGGGAUCGGCCCGCGUCCCAUUAGCUAGUUGGUGAGGUAACGGCUCACCAAGGCCACGAUGGGUAGCCGGCCUGAGAGGGUGUACGGCCACACUGGCACUGAGACAAGGGCCAGUCCCCUAUGGGGGGCGCAGGCGGGAAUAGUUCACAAUGGGCGAAAGCCUGAUGACGCGACGCCGCGUGAGCGAAGAAGACCUUCGGGUUGUAAAGCUCUGUCAGGAGGGAAGAAGGCUCUACGGGUCAAUAGCCCGUGGGAUUGACGGUACCUCCAGAGGAAGCCCCGGCUAAAUACGUGCCAGCAGCCGCGGUAAUACGUAUGGGGCAAGCGUUGUCCGGAUUUACUGGGCGUAAAGGGCGCGUAGGCGGUUUGUUAAGUCGAAGGUGAAAUCCUCGGGCUCAACUCGAGAAUUGCCUUCGAUACUGGCAAACUAGAGUGGCGGAGAGGAAAGCGGAACUCUUGGUGUAACGGUGGAAUGUGUAGAUAUCAAGAGGAACACCGGUGGCGAAGGCGGCUUUCUGGACGCACACUGACGCUCAGGCGCGAAAGCGUGGGUAGCAAACAGGAUUAGAUACCCUGGUAGUCCACGCCAUAAACGAUGGGUACUAGGUGUCGGGGGUAUCGACCCCUCCGGUGCCGCAGUUAACGCACUAAGUACCCCGCCUGGGGAUUAUGGUCGCAAGGCUGAAACUCAAAGGAAUUGACGGGGCCCCGCACAAGCGGUGGAGCAUGUGGUUUAAUUCGACGCAACGCGAAGAACCUUACCUGGGCUUGACAUGCUUGGGACAGCGCUGGAAACAGCGUCUCUCUUUCGGGAGCCAUUGCACAGGUGCUGCAUGGCUGUCGUCAGCUCGUGUCGUGAGAUGUUGGGUUAAGUCCCGCAACGAGCGCAACCCUCGUUACUAGUUGCCAUCAGUUCG